AGAGUUUGAUCAUGGCUCAGGACGAACGCUGGCGGCGUGCUUAACACAUGCAAGUCGAACGGAAAGGCCCUUCGGGGUACUCGAGUGGCGAACGGGUGAGUAACACGUGGGUGAUCUGCCCUGCACUUUGGGAUAAGCCUGGGAAACUGGGUCUAAUACCGAAUAGGACCGCGCGCUUCAUGGUGUGUGGUGGAAAGCUUUUGCGGUGUGGGAUGGGCCCGCGGCCUAUCAGCUUGUUGGUGGGGUAAUGGCCUACCAAGGCGACGACGGGUAGCCGGCCUGAGAGGGUGACCGGCCACACUGGGACUGAGAUACGGCCCAGACUCCUACGGGAGGCAGCAGUGGGGAAUAUUGCACAAUGGGCGCAAGCCUGAUGCAGCGACGCCGCGUGAGGGAUGACGGCCUUCGGGUUGUAAACCUCUUUCACCAGGGACGAAGCGCAAGUGACGGUACCUGGAGAAGAAGCACCGGCCAACUACGUGCCAGCAGCCGCGGUAAUACGUAGGGUGCGAGCGUUGUCCGGAAUUACUGGGCGUAAAGAGCUCGUAGGUGGUUUGUCGCGUUGUUCGUGAAAACUCACAGCUUAACUGUGGGCGUGCGGGCGAUACGGGCAGACUAGAGUACUGCAGGGGAGACUGGAAUUCCUGGUGUAGCGGUGGAAUGCGCAGAUAUCAGGAGGAACACCGGUGGCGAAGGCGGGUCUCUGGGCAGUAACUGACGCUGAGGAGCGAAAGCGUGGGGAGCGAACAGGAUUAGAUACCCUGGUAGUCC
rnacentral:rRNA from 1 species